rnacentral:rRNA from 1 species
AUUGAACGCUGGCGGCAUGCCUUACACAUGCAAGUCGAACGGUAACAGGUCUUCGGAUGCUGACGAGUGGCGAACGGGUGAGUAAUACAUCGGAACGUGCCUAGUAGUGGGGGAUAACUACUCGAAAGAGUGGCUAAUACCGCAUGAGAUCUACGGAUGAAAGCAGGGGAUCGCAAGACCUUGUGCUACUAGAGCGGCCGAUGGCAGAUUAGGUAGUUGGUGGGAUAAAAGCUUACCAAGCCGACGAUAUGUAGCUGGUCUGAGAGGACGAUCAGCCACACUGGGAGUGAGACACGGCCCAGACUCCUACGGGAGGCAGCAGUGGGGAAUUUUGGACAAUGGGCGCAAGCCUGAUCCAGCAAUGCCGCUUGCAGGAUGAAGGCCUUCGGGUUGUAAACUGCUUUUGUACGGAACGAAAAGCCCUGGGUUAAUACCCUGGGGUCAUGACGGUACCGUAAGAAUAAGCACCGGCUAACUACGUGCCAGCCGCCGCGGUAAAAC